GCCUACGGCCAUACCACCCUGAACACGCCCAAUGUCGUCUGAUCUCGGAAGCUAAGCAGGGUCGGGACUGGUUAGUACUUGGAUGGGAGACCGCCUGGGAAUACCAGGUGUUGUAGGCU
rnacentral:rRNA from 1 species